rnacentral:rRNA from 1 species
CCUACGGGUGGCUGCAGUGGGGAAUAUUGGACAAUGGGGGCAACCCUGAUCCAGCCAUGCCGCGUGUGUGAAGAAGGCCCUCGGGUUGUAAAGCACUUUCAGUGAGGAAGAACGCCUGGUGGUUAAUACCCAUCAGGAAAGACAUCACUCACAGAAGAAGCACCGGCUAACUCCGUGCCAGCAGCCGCGGUAAUACGGAGGGUGCGAGCGUUAAUCGGAAUUACUGGGCGUAAAGCGCGCGUAGGUGGCUUGAUAAGCCGGUUGUGAAAGCCCCGGGCUCAACCUGGGAACGGCAUCCGGAACUGUCAAGCUAGAGUGCAGGAGAGGAAGGUAGAAUUCCCGGUGUAGCGGUGAAAUGCGUAGAGAUCGGGCGGAAUACCAGUGGCGAAGGCGGCCUGCUGGACUGACACUGACACUGAGGUGCGAAAGCGUGGGUAGCAAACAGGAUUAGAUACCCUUGUAGUC